UUCAACUGUUCGAGUGAGAGUCAGAAAACAGACUUCUACCAAAAAAACAAAGCUUCCAAAAAAAUAAGCAUUUUGUUUUAAAAGAAGGAUAAGAAAACAAACUUUUUCCACGAAGCUAGAGCUGAAUAAGACUCCUGCUUGCGCUAAAGCUGACUGAAAAUCAGAAAAUAAGACACCUGCUAAAGCUAGCAACAGCAUGCUAACUGAAAAAGGAAGUUUUGGAGCCAGAGCUAAUGCGUCUCUACGCCGCUAUGAUGCAGAAUGAACAGCCUGAACACUGCCUGCUCUGAAGAAUUGCAGAAUCAAGGAGGUUCAAUUGCAGUGGAAAGUCAAUGACCACUGGCUGAGCAUCAUCCACCGCCCCUAAGUGACAACUCAGCCGGUCUGCUUAGCUUGAAGAAGAGCAGAGAUGGACACUCACACCUCCCUGCCUGCCAGCCGCACCACAGGAGUUGUCCACUGUAGUAGGCUGGAUCCGCUCACAUGUUGGAAAGCAACUUGCUGGAUGUUGCAGCGUUUGCAAACACGCUACAUUUACACGCAGUCCGAAAGGAUAAUGCCCGUAAUUAAACAUAGAGGUUGCAUGAUACUCAGGCACAUUUAUGAAACACACAUGUAAAUAUACACUCUCCACAGGGGCUUUGUAAAAGGACUUGUGCUGUUAUUUGUCACGCUAUACUGUGGCAGUGUUCGGAUUAACGCUGGCUCAUAUGGAUGGAUCAUGGCUUAACUGAUAUGACUUAGAUUUUAGACAUGUGAUAUUAAGAUGACCCUAUAUGGGGAUAAAUACUGGACCAUGCCACCAAGCUAAUGGACACAACCACACGGUCCCCAGGGUGCAAGAAAGUGCAUCCUCCUUCUCAAUUUAUAUAUUUUCCACUUAACAUGAUGUAUACUUGUUUGAAAGUGUCCCAUUGAUGCAUCGUCCUUGAAUAACUCCACAACUGACCUUCUCAUCGUACAAAGUAUGUUCUCACAUGGCCUCAAUGAGUGGUCGUGUUGGUUUCAGUCCUUAAAGCUGUGUCCAGUGGUCUUUCUAUUCUUAAAAUGCAGAUCCGGUGGCGUGUUUGUGUCACGUCAUUAAGAGAAUUACAGCCCUCUUUCAUUGGGACAUAAUAUUAUUACAGUGAGCGUCAUGUAUUACAUUACACAAUCAGCCAUGCAAAAAGAUGCUAAUGCAUUCCUUUCCACAAUUUGGAAGUGUUAUAAAGUGUUUUAUGCAACCAUUGCCCAACAAGCCAGCUCCAUUCAAGAACAAAUUCGUAUUAGAAAUGGCAACUCGGGUAGUAAAGCGUGGACGAAGGGCUUUGGCUGAGGGGGGAUGAAAAAGAGACAGUGUUGGUGAUGAUUAGGAAAAACAUUUCCCCAAUGUGCCUGGCUGUGGCAGUGGAGAUGCAGGAAACUGCUAUGGGCACAUUUUGUUUACAUGAUGCUCCAUUCCGCUUAUUUUAUUAAUCCCUGGGAUUAAUAGGAGUCUCUGUAAAGCAAUGCACAGGAAGAAGGCGUGUUUAAUGCAAACAAGGGCCUCAACUACCGUAUUGAUUACUUCAAUUAUUGAGAAAUCUUCUGAAUAUUUGUCUCUAAAUGUUGUUAACGGUAUCAUUUUGAGGCUGUGGUGGAGAGGAGGACUCUGAACAGACUGUUGUCCAUCAUGGAUAACCCCACCCACCCUCUCCACCUGCAGCUGGACAGACAGCGGAGCUCCUUCUCCAACAGACUGCUCCAACUCCACUGCCACAAGGACAGGUACAGGAGAACCUUCCUGCCUACUGCCCUAACCCUGUAUAGCAACUCCCCUCUGGCUGGCAGAUAACUCUCUGCUCCAUAGCCUCUCUGUGAUCACUGGACUUAAACCAUACUGGAUAUUCUAUAUUUAUUCUAUUUAAUAUUCUUCACCUUUCACACUCAUGUACAUAUUAUAUCCUGCUUUGUUUAGUUUUUGUCUAUAUUUUUUGUACAUUU